rnacentral:rRNA from 1 species
ACGCUGGCGGCAGGCCUAACACAUGCAAGUCGAGCGGUAGAGAGAAGCUUGCUUCUCUUGAGAGCGGCGGACGGGUGGGUAAUGCCUAGGAAUCUGCCUGGUAGUGGGGGAUAACGUUCGGAAACGGACGCUAAUACCGCAUACGUCCUACGGGAGAAAGCAGGGGACCUUCGGGCCUUGCGCUAUCAGAUGAGCCUAGGUCGGAUUAGCUAGUUGGUGAGGUAAUGGCUCACCAAGGCGACGAUCCGUAACUGGUCUGAGAGGAUGAUCAGUCACACUGGAACUGAGACACGGUCCAGACUCCUACGGGAGGCAGCAGUGGGGAAUAUUGGACAAUGGGCGAAAGCCUGAUCCAGCCAUGCCGCGUGUGUGAAGAAGGUCUUCGGAUUGUAAAGCACUUUAAGUUGGGAGGAAGGGUUGUAGAUUAAUACUCUGCAAUUUUGACGUUACCGACAGAAUAAGCACCGGCUAACUCUGUGCCAGCAGCCGCGGUAAUACAGAGGGUGCAAGCGUUAAUCGGAAUUACUGGGCGUAAAGCGCGCGUAGGUGGUUUGUUAAGUUGGAUGUGAAAUCCCCGGGCUCAACCUGGGAACUGCAUCCAAAACUGACUGACUAGAGUAUGGUAGAGGGUGGUGGAAUUUCCUGUGUAGCGGUGAAAUGCGUAGAUAUAGGAAGGAACACCAGUGGCGAAGGCGACCACCUGGACUAAUACUGACACUGAGGUGCGAAGGCGUGGGGAGCAAAC